GAGGGUGUAGCUCAAGUGGUAAAGUGCAUGCUUAGCAUGCAUAAGGCCCUGGGUUCAAUCCCCAGUACCUCCA
rnacentral:tRNA from 1 species